UACAGAGGUCCCAAGCGUUGUCCGGAAUCAUUGGGCGUAAAGAGCGUGUAGGCGGUCCGGUCAGUCGGUUGUGAAAGUCAAGGGCUCAACCCUUGAAUGCCGGCCGAUACUGCCGGGCUAGAGUCCGGAAGAGGUGAGUGGAAUUCCUGGUGUAGCGGUGAAAUGCGCAGAUAUCAGGAGGAACACCGAUGGCGAAGGCAGCUCACUGGGACGGUACUGACGCUGAGACGCGAAAGCGUGGGGAGCAAACAGG
rnacentral:rRNA from 1 species